CACAGGGGUGCUAGUGACACAACUACCCCGGGUCCCCACGUGGUGUGGAAGACAGUGACACGUGUUAUCUGUCAUUGGCGUCGCAAUGUCUUGCCGUGUCAGUCUUACCGGAGAGAAUAGUUAGUUACUGAUUAUUCUGUCAACGUAACGAGACAAGCUUCCUUAUUUGCCAGCUCAACCAAUCUGUCUACCGUGACGGGUGUCCGAGUACAUGUGCCAGACGAUCUCGGUCACCGCUGUAACACAAUCGUCUAGAACGAACAGGAAUUUGUGCACAAUGUACGCGGGCGUGGAAUGGAGAAUGGGCGUUACCUGUAUAUUUAUUUUAUGAGGCUGUUGUGACUAAAAUAUACACAACAUUUCAUAUAAU